rnacentral:misc_RNA from 1 species
UGUGGGAGCGGGCUUGCUCGCGAUGGCAUCACCGCGCCAUGCCUGGAGUACCGAGUUGUCAGUAUCGCGAGCAAGCCCGCUCCCACA